rnacentral:rRNA from 1 species
AUUCGUCACACUAUCAUUAACUGAAUCCAUAGGUUAAUGAGGCGAACCGGGGGAACUGAAACAUCUAAGUACCCCGAGGAAAAGAAAUCAACCGAGAUUCCCCCAGUAGCGGCGAGCGAACGGGGAGGAGCCCAGAGCCUGAAUCAGUGUGUGUGUUAGUGGAAGCGUCUGGAAAGGCGCGCGAUACAGGGUGACAGCCCCGUACACAAAAAUGCACAUGCUGUGAGCUCGAUGAGUAGGGCGGGACACGUGGUAUCCUGUCUGAAUAUGGGGGGACCAUCCUCCAAGGCUAAAUACUCCUGACUGACCGAUAGUGAACCAGUACCGUGAGGGAAAGGCGAAAAGAACCCCGGCGAGGGGAGUGAAAAAGAACCUGAAACCGUGUACGUACAAGCAGUGGGAGCACGCUUAGGCGUGUGACUGCGUACCUUUUGUAUAAUGGGUCAGCGACUUAUAUUCUGUAGCAAGGUUAACCGAAUAGGGGAGCCGAAGGGAAACCGAGUCUUAACUGGGCGUUAAGUUGCAGGGUAUAGACCCGAAACCCGGUGAUCUAGCCAUGGGCAGGUUGAAGGUUGGGUAACACUAACUGGAGGACCGAACCGACUAAUGUUGAAAAAUUAGCGGAUGACUUGUGGCUGGGGGUGAAAGGCCAAUCAAACCGGGAGAUAGCUGGUUCUCCCCGAAAGCUAUUUAGGUAGCGCCUCGUGAAUUCAUCUCCGGGGGUAGAGCACUGUUUCGGCAAGGGGGUCAUCCCGACUUACCAACCCGAUGCAAACUGCGAAUACCGGAGAAUGUUAUCACGGGAGACACACGGCGGGUGCUAACGUCCGUCGUGAAGAGGGAAACAACCCAGACCGCCAGCUAAGGUCCCAAAGUCAUGGUUAAGUGGGAAACGAUGUGGGAAGGCCCAGACAGCCAGGAUGUUGGCUUAGAAGCAGCCAUCAUUUAAAGAAAGCGUAAUAGCUCACUGGUCGAGUCGGCCUGCGCGGAAGAUGUAACGGGGCUAAACCAUGCACCGAAGCUGCGGCAGCGACGCUUAUGCGUUGUUGGGUAGGGGAGCGUUCUGUAAGCCUGUGAAGGUGUGCUGUGAGGCAUGCUGGAGGUAUCAGAAGUGCGAAUGC